CACGGAUUUCACGCUUCGUCUUUAGUCCCGCCGCAGUGUCUGUAUCGCUUUUGUUUCUUUGAGGCGAGGCGGAGAGACGAGGAGUCGCGCUGUCGCGGAAGGCUGGGAGCGGCGUGUGUGAAGCGACGGCGACACAGAGAGUUAGAGCUGCGAGGAAGGCCAGGAAGCCGACGGCCACAGCGGAGAGACGAGGACUCGCGUUAUCGCGGAAGGCCGGGAGCGACUGGCGUGCGUUUAGCGACGGCGACGGAGAGAGUCAGAUCUGCGAGCCUGCGAGAGUGCGAAGAAGCCGACGGCCACAGCCCACAGCGCAGAGAGGACUCAGAGGAGCUAAGGAAGAGUCGCGGCCAAUGAGCGAGGAAACGUCGACCAACCGGCGAGGAUUUCGAUUGGUGGCGGCGAGGCAGCGAUCGACCAGCGAGGAGGCAGCGGUGGUGUAGAUAGGUAUGCCUUACUUCUUACUCUUAUAGUCUAUUUGUUGUGGUCUGGGGUUGGGGUUGGGGAUGGGAGAGGAUUGAUCCCACGUGUCCGUUUGUUGAAAUUCCGGUGAGAUGAUUCAACAGUUCAUCAAUUUCGUCAUUCACCCACCCAGCUAUUAUAGGUUUCUAGCUUUGGAUGUUGCACUAGCAUCUUAGAAGUAUGGUUCAAAGCUUACUCUGUACCCUCAAAAGGGGGAAAACUAAAGUAGGGAUGGUUCAAAAGCAAAUAGAAGAGGCUGCAAAAAAUGGAUGUCAUUUUGUGCUGAACUUGUUGACAGGGCACUGAACUUGAGAUUUAGGCACGACUCUUCUGAUAUAUAUUGUUUUGUUUUCUAGCUUAUACUUCUACUUAAGUCUUGUAGUAGUUAGUAAAGUCAUUUUUCUUGCUUGAAUAUGUUUUCUAGCUUAUACUUUACUGUUUCAUUUGCAGAAAUAAGUUUUUCCAAGUUGAAAUUGUUGAAGUCCUCCUUAUGCUCUACAAUAUAAUGUCACAAGAACGACUUAAUAGAUUAGCUAUGAUUUCUAUUGAAAAUGCUAUUUUGGAUAAAAUAGAUUAUGAAGAGUUGAUCGAUGAAUUUGCAUCAAAGAAUGCUAGAAGAAUGACUCUUUUUAAAUAAAAGAUUUGUAGUUUACAUUAUGUUUAGAAUUUUGUUCAUAAUAAAUAAAGUUUGAAUUUGUUUAAGCU